rnacentral:siRNA from 1 species
GACAGAAACCAAGUUGGGUACCCA